rnacentral:lncRNA from 1 species
GCGAGGAGGUGGGGGGCUGCGAGGGCUGGGCCCGGAAACACGGGUAGUUCCAAGAGAUUUCGCGGUAGUGCCUGGAGAGGGGAGACCCUGCCUGGGACACAAGUCCCGUUGCAUACUGGCGUUCUGACCUCCAAACCAGCGAGAAGAGAAAGCAGAUACAAUAAAUAAACCAAGAGGGAAUAAACUUAGAGGCAAACGCGGCCCUCGGCAGUUCCUGGGGAAAGAUCAAAGGCCGUAGGAAGUGCCCCGCAGAGGAAAUCUGCAGUCACUAGCGACAGGACCGCGCCCGCCCCCUCCCCACCUUGCAACGCUGCCAGGACUCGGUGGGCGUCCUGGCUCUUCACAGUUAGCCUAUGUUUGGGAGCGCGGGAGGAAACAAUGUUGACUGAUAUAUUCUUCUCCCCUCCCCAGCCCCCCAAACACACACACACAGGAUUUCUACUCC